GGAAGGGCUAACAGAACUCCAGAACGGCCCCAAGGGUAGCCCCUACUAUAUUCUGAGAAUUCAGUUGGCAGGAGCGUACCCAUGCAAGAUGUACAUCUGGGCCGUGGCAGUCAGACCGAGCUCCUUCUCCUGAGAGGGGGCAGCCGGGCAAGAGGAGAGAACCAGCACGCAGUGUGCAGUAUGAUGGGGAAUCAGCAGAAACAGAACUACCCAGGCUUGGCUCGGGAAUCAGAUACGCCAGGCAGGAAUUCGCCCUUGGGAAGCUGUUGCUUAACCCUCUGGUUCCUCGGGCUCCCUGCCUCCUUGACAGAGGCCAAGGCAAACAAGGAUUCCGGGUGAGACCAGACCGACCAGCCAAUGCCAGCUCACUUGGGGUUAGACCAGGGCUGGGAGGGGCCCAGGCAACCCUGCAGGAUGCCGGGUGCUGGGCAGAGCCCCAGGGGGAGGCAGGUUUCUGCAGCUCCCUUUUCCCAGUGGAAAAGCUCAGGAUUCCCAAAGGCUGUUGGGCAAGAGUCUCAAAUUGUCUUCAGACUGGGUCUAAUCUAGCUAGAACCGCUUGGGAGCCAGGAUGUAGCUGGAUCCAGUGACAGGCGUUGCUAAGAAGUGAAGAGAGGUCCGGUGACAACUGGGAUCUCCAGUUGACCCAGUCUCAAGGGUGAGCCCAGCCCCUGGGUGUAGGGCUAGGAUCUGUGGCCUUUGGCCAACAGCCAACAACUUGGUAAAGGGUUUCUUCCAUUAUCAGAGGGAAGGGAAGGGAAGGGGGAGAGGCAUGGGAGAUGGUUGUCUGGGUGUGUUUAUUUUCUUUUAAAAUAUCAACUUGAGUGGGGGGUGCCCAUGGGGACACGGAGGGCACGUCGAUGGUCAGCCUGUUCGCUGGGCAAUCCAUGUAAUCUCUGUCCUGCCCUGUAUACUGUUGGCACUUGACCAAUGGGUGAAACAUCUCCAUCAUGGCGGCCGUCUUUACGUGAGCAUCUGGACGGCACAGAGGGCUUCUGACACUCACCAGGACUUCUUUCCCAUUAAAAACGGACAGGCUGCAGCAGUCUGGAAGGAGACCACAAAUGCACAAGUUCAGAGGACAAGCUGCUCCCAGGAGGUCACAAACAGCCUCAACAGUUCAAGAAGGUAAAAAUUGGUGGUUGGAGGUGAGAGAAGCCAGCGAGGGAGGAAGACCGCGUCCCAAGGAGGCUCAUGCUCACCACUGUCCAGGUUUUAAAACUCUAGUUUGCCCUGGGGCGCCUGGGGGGCUCAGUCGGUUACACAUCGGACUCUUGGUUUCAGCUCAGGUCGUGAUCUCACAGUUUCGUGGGUUCGAGCCCCGCAUGGGCCUCUGUGCCCACAGCCUUGACAGGGCGGAGCCUGCUUGGGAUUCUCUGUCUCCCUCUCUCUCUGCUCCUCCCCCGCUCGAGCGGUCUCUGUCUCUCUCAAAAUAAAUAAAUAAACUAAAAAAAAAAAAAUCAAGUUUGCUCUCUUCGGUCCCUUGGCUUUGAGGCUGUCUCGACAGACACGAGGAGAAGGCUCAGUACGCGGGAGACAGGCCAUCUGGGCCGGGACCAAAGAGCUGCACAUUCUCAGGGCAAGUCCCUUCUUCAAGGCCAGAGGUCCCCUGUUGACGUCACACCCAUGGAGGGAGAAGAAACACCAAGAAGGGGUGAGGCGGUGACGUCGCCCUGUGUUCUCGCAGGGCUGAGGAGGUCUGUGCUCUACAUUCUUCCGUGUUGGCUCAAGCCAAAGCCCCUGUGAUACAAACCAGGACGAGGUCUGAGGGCCCUCCCUCAAGGCGCACACUGUGUGAGAAAGGGACCCACAGCUCAGGAACCAAAACAGACACACCCAGCCCAGUGACCUCCCCACCAGCCAGUGACCAACAGCAGCCAGUCAACAGCUCUCAUCAAGAGGCUCUUAUGUACGUGACACCAUGGGGGAUCCAAUUUCCUGCAGACCGUGGCUUGGGGUUUAUGUAAGUCUAAUUAGGUCUAGGGAAGUGAGAGGCACAUAUAUGAGAAAAAGAGUGGAUAGACUAUGGCCAAGGUAGGCUUGGGAGGAAGUGGAUA